AACGAACGCUGGCGGCAGGCCUCAUACAUGCAAGUCGAGCGAUUAAGACUCCUUCGGGAGUGUAUAAAGCGGCGAACGGGUGAGUAACAGGUGGAUGAUCUACCUUCCGGUGGGGGAUAACGGCUGGAAACGGCCGCUAAUACCGCAUUCGGUUAAUACGCUGCGGCGUAUUAAAGAAAGGCGCUUCAAAGCGCCGCCGGGAGAUGAGUCCGCCCCCCAUUAGCUAGUUGGUGAGAUAACAGCUCACCAAGGCAACGAUGGGUAGCCGAACUGAGAGGUUGAUCGGCCACACUGGAACUGAGACACGGUCCAGACACCUACGGGUGGUAGCAGUAGGGAAUAUUGGGCAAUGGGCGAAAGCCUGACCCAGCCAUGCCGCGUGAGUGAUGAAGGUCCUAGAGAUUGUAAAACUCUUUUCUGAGGAAGAAUAAAUAGGGAAGGAAAUGUCUUAUUUUGACGGUACCUCAGGAAUAAGGAACGGCUAACUCCGUGCCAGCAGCCGCGGUAAAACGUCUA
rnacentral:rRNA from 1 species